rnacentral:rRNA from 1 species
CCCCUAGAUGUUCUGGGCCGCACGCGCACUACACUGAACAGUUCAACAAGUCUUAACCUUGGCCGAUAGGUCUGGGUAAUCUUUGAACGCUGUUCGUGAUUGGGAUAGACCUUUGCAAUUAUGGGUCUUCAACGAGGAAUUCCUAGUAAACGCAAGUCAUCAGCUUGCAUUGAUUACGUCCCUGCCCUUUGUACACACCGCCCGUCGCACCUACCGAUUGAAUGGUCCGGUGAAAUCUCGGGACGGCGGCUUGGUCGCUUGCGUCCGACUGCUGAAACUUGAUUAAACCAUAUCAUUUAGAGGAAGGUGAAGUCGUAACA